GCCACCAUGAACUUCGGCCCAGCCAUGCCCACCUGCCUGGAAGCAAACUGAGUAUGGACUGAAACCUCCAAAAACUGUAAGAAAUAAACCUUUCCUUUCCCCAGUUUGGGCUUCAGGUAUUUUGUCUCAGCAACAAGCAUAAAGUAACUAAGACAGAAUUUGGUACCUAGGAGUGGGGUCAUUUGCUGUGACUAUAUCUGGCCAUGUUUUUCAAGAGGCUUUGGAAAUGGCUUGUGGGCAGAGUUUGGAAAGGUUCGGACAUGUUGCCUGUAUGCAUAGAGCUGGAGCACCUUAGGCUGUUCUGUAGAGGAAAUUCUGGUCAGAGCUCAGGCGACCAGAAGGCUGAUAGAAAGCCGGAUGGUAAAGACCAGGCUUGGGAGGUUUCUGCUGGGAAAGACUGCAUUGGUCGUUGGACUCCACAUGAUGUGUGUUAUGGCUUGGCAGAAAGUUUGCCUGCAUUUUGCUCCUGCCCAGAGACUUUGCCUGAGACUGAGACAAAGGGCAAUGGACUGAUUAAUCUUGAAAAAGAAAUUAAAAAGCUAUCGAAUGUUGAGGCUGUGGCAUGGCUAUUGUUGGCUUUUAGUGAGCUUUAUGUUUCAAAUCAAGAGCAAAGAGCCCGGCAGGAUAAUGUACAAUGCUGUGAGUUUGGCCAGAAGGAAAAUUCCAAGGAAAGCUGCAAAAAACGAGCAGAGAAGAUUUUUUAAAAAAGCUUAGGGAGUUGAAAUGGCUGGAAGUGCCCUGGGGGUAGAAUCACCCAAGUCUUUUAGAGCUUACAACCAGAUUGCUUCAGAUGCUGAGCGUGAAACUCUAGGACUUAAUGUUUGUCCUGCUGGAUGUUGGACUUGCUUUGUUUCCAAUGCUUUAUAUUCCCCCGUUUGUAACUUUUGGAAUGGUAAUGUUUAUCUUGUGCCUUUGUGUUUCAGAAAUGUUUAACUUUGUUUCGUUUGUACAGGGACUUACAGUUAAGAAUUUACCAUAGAUCUUGGUGGAGACUUGGGACUUGGACUGUUUAGCAAUGCUGAAACUUAGGACUUUGGCAACUCUUGGAGGUGGACUAAAUGUCUUUUGUAUAAAAGAUGUACAUGAGUCCUGGGGGCCAGGGGUGGAAUGUCAUGGUUUAUGUCUGUGUCCCCCAAGCCUCAUAAGUUUAAAUUGUGCAUUUGUUAUUCAUUCAUUGUCUAGUGCUUGGAUUGAUGGUGUCAGUGCUCCAUUCACAAAGGGGUGGAGCCAGGAUGUGAUGUAAUGGCAGGAAGAAGGUGUGUUUUGCUCUUUUUGCUGGUUCCUCUUUGCUGUUCGCAGCCACCAUGAACUUCGGCCCAGCCAUGCCCGCCUGCCUGGGAACAAACUGAGUGUGGACUGAAACCUCCAAAACUCUUCCUGAAUCCUGCCUGUAUGGGUUUUUCUGGAGACUUCAUCAUCAAGUAGCUGUGCUUGGAGCAUGGACAACCAUGUUAAAAUGUGACUGGCAAAAAGGGUCUGAACCAGUGGGAACAGAUGGUGAGGAAAGCCAACAAGGCUUGUCUGUGUCAGCAUCCUGGAUGCAACGUUCCUCUAUCCAUGUGCGAGCAGGAUCCCUCUGGAAUGUGGAGAGGCCAGAGAACUUCUUGAGUAGCUCGAAGAGGACAGAUGUGCCACUCCGAGAUAAUGUCAGUCUGUAGGAUGGGAGUAAUUUGAGAAACACCAGGAACUCCCGAGAUUGUCAGAGCUAAGUGGACAGCAAUACGGUUUCCAGACUCGGGUCAACAAGUUUGAUGGCUCUGCAGGUUUCUUUGUUUCUCCCCCACUCCCCUUUUCCUCCAGUCUCUUUUUAAAGUCCUCCCUUCAGUCUCUGGGACACAGUCUCCAAAUUGGCUCCCGGAGACUGGUCGCCUGGCCUGGAAAUAAAGCCUUUGCCACCUAAAUUUUUGGUCUCUUGCCUCCUUGGAUUUUAUACUGGGGCCCAAGUUAUAACAAUAACCAUCUCUCCCAGACAGAAAGGCAGAUGGGGUGAGGUUAUUUUAAUUCUAGAUUUCAUGGUUGGCUUUGGAGAAAAUGGGUUCUGUGAUCUGUCCUGUGACUUGCUUCAGGGAGGAAGGAGAGUUGAGACUCUGGAGGGCAGCAGAUUGUGUAGUCACUUCUGAGGCCUGCCAGUGUCCUUAAUUUCACCAAGGACAAUGCCGCAGGUUAUAAUGUUCCUCCACUUGAAGCCAGCCAGUCUCCACCCUGAAGGAAGCAGCAGUUGCCUGGACUUUAGACCUGAGGUGGAAACCAGAGCUGUGUGAACAGGGCAGGCAGAAGCUAGAGAACAGAAGGUCAGACAACUGGGUGGCAGCCAAUGAAAAGCCAGAGUCUGGGUGUCGGCUGUUGCAGAGUUCUCAAAAGGUUGCAUUUGGCCUAAGUUCUAGAGUCCAGAUCUCAAGUCAGCAAACUUGUAAAGAUGGCUUAAGCAGUAUUUCCAGUAUUGAUACAUUCAUGCAAAAAGGGACACAGACACAAAGUCAGAUAGCUAAUCAGGAAGUGACACAGCCAAGGGGUCCCUGACAGGGGUCUUUUCAGUCAGACUUUGUGAUACACAUUUCUCAGCUGUGAGGGAUCUUGAGGGAUCACUAGGAUUGAUGCUACAGGAUGUGCCAAGAACAACAUCUUGCUUUUGCUUGGCCUGGGACUGGAAUUUUUGUUCUCCAUGAUCCCCUUAGCCAAACUCUGUACAGAGUCCUUUUUUGCUUUUGUAAAUUCCUUUGCAGCACAGCUGUAUAACAUCUAGAUGAUUUGUCUGUUUUGCAAAAAACAGGACAUUGAUCUUCAUUUACAGGUUUCUUUUUAAAGAGUAGUUUGCCUGUUGAGUCAGUUUCCUUCCCCAUGGGUACAUUUCUGAUGGUCUUAAAUAAAUGCCUCCUAACAUAUGCUUUUGAGUAUUAAAGGAAACAAAGGAUGUGGAAGUCUGUUGUGAGUGGUACAUUGCUUCACCAAUGUUACUUAUCUACCUCUUUCCCAUCAUGGGGUGGGCAUGCCACUCAUGCUAUGGAAACAGGAACCAAUCAAACAUUUUCAGGCAAGCAUCUGGAUUUGAUUGCUCAGGAAAUUAACCAGGUCAUCAACUAUGUAAUUUAUAGGGGCUGGUGUAAAAAGUAUUAAGAAUUUCUGGAUGGCAGCAGCAGCACACAGAGCUAAGCGAGGCAUUGCGAGCUGCCCACCUGGUGCACAUCGAGCUGCAGCUGUGUCCAUAUAUUUAGAGCAAUGAGAGGCUUGUGAGAUGUCUUCGGGUGCUGCACUAUCUCCUCACUCCCAAACCAGCUAAGAAACACACAGUGGGAGUUUUCAGAAGAGCUCCUUGAGAUCUAUAAAACACGUGCUUGAUUUAGAAAAGCAAGAAUUUCUUUUCAAACACAAAAAGC